AGUGAACGCUGGCGGUAGGCCUAACACAUGCAAGUCGAACGGCAGCACAGUAAGAGCUUGCUCUUACGGGUGGCGAGUGGCGGACGGGUGAGGAAUACUUCGGAAUCUACUUUUUCGUGGGGGAUAACGUAGGGAAACUUACGCUAAUACCGCAUACGACCUACGGGUGAAAGCAGGGGAUCUUCGGACCUUGCGCGAUUGAAUGAGCCGAUGUCGGAUUAGCUAGUUGGCGGGGUAAAGGCCCACCAAGGCGACGAUCCGUAGCUGGUCUGAGAGGAUGAUCAGCCACACUGGAACUGAGACACGGGCCAGACUCCUACGGGAGGCAGCAGUGGGGAAUAUUGGACAAUGGGCGCAAGCCUGAUCCAGCCAUACCGCGUGGGUGAAGAAGGCCUUCGGGUUGUAAAGCCCUUUUGUUGGGAAAGAAAAGCAGCAGGUUAAUACCCCGCUGUUCUGACGGUACCCAAAGAAUAAGCACCGGCUAACUUCGUG
rnacentral:rRNA from 1 species